rnacentral:rRNA from 1 species
UACGGAGGAUCCAAGCGGUAUCCGGAUUCAUUGGGCUUAAAGGGUGCGUAGGCGGAAUAGCAAGUCAGUGGUGAAAGCCUGUUGCUUAACAACAGAACUGCCAUUGAUACUGCUAAUCUUGAGUACAUUUGAUGUGGGCGGAAUGUGUCGUGUAGCGGUGAAAUGCUUAGAUAUGACACAGAACACCGAUUGCGAAGGCAGCUCACAAAACUGUUACUGACGCUGAGGCACGAAAGCGUGGGGAUCGAACAGG